CAGCCGCCGCGGGAAUACGGAGGGUGCAAGCGUUACUCGGAAUCACUGGGCGUAAAGGACGCGUAGGCGGAUUAUCAAGUCUCUUGUGAAAUCUAACGGCUUAACCGUUAAACUGCUUGGGAAACUGAUAAUCUAGAGUAAGGGAGAGGCAGAUGGAAUUCUUGGUGUAGGGGUAAAAUCCGUAGAGAUCAAGAGGAAUACCCAUUGCGAAAGCGAUCUGCUGGAACUUAACUGACGCUAAUGCGUGAAAGCGUGGGGAGCAAACAGGAUUAGAUACCCCCGUAGUCCCUGUCUCUUAUAC
rnacentral:rRNA from 1 species